rnacentral:ncRNA from 2 species
CCGUUCUCAACGGGGUGUCUGCGUCGUCAGGCUGAGAGAAACCCGUCGAACCUGAUCCGGUUAAUACCGGCGUAGGGAUUUGAGAUGUGCCAGCCU